UACAGAGGUCUCAAGCGUUGUUCGGUUUCAUUGGGCGUAAAGGGUGCGUAGGCGGCGCGGUAAGUCGGGUGUGAAAUCUCGGAGCUUAACUCCGAAACUGCAUUCGAUACUGCCGUGCUUGAGGACUGGAGAGGAGACUGGAAUUUACGGUGUAGCGGUGAAAUGCGUAGAUAUCGUAAGGAAGACCAGUGGCGAAGGCGGGUCUCUGGACAGUUCCUGACGCUGAGGCACGAAGGCCAGGGGAGCAAACGGG
rnacentral:rRNA from 1 species